rnacentral:rRNA from 1 species
GAUGAACGCUAGCGGCAGGCUUAAUACAUGCAAGUCGUGGGGCAGCAUGAGUGUAGCAAUACAUUUGAUGGCGACCGGCAAACGGGUGCGGAACACGUACACAACCUUCCUAUAAGUGGGGAAUAGCCCAGAGAAAUUUGGAUUAAUACCCCGUAACAUAACGAUGUGGCAUCACAUUGUUAUUAUAGCUUCGGCGCUUAUUGAUGGGUGUGCGGCUGAUUAGAUAGUUGGCGGGGUAACGGCCCACCAAGUCUACGAUCAGUAGCUGAUGUGAGAGCAUGAUCAGCCACACGGGCACUGAGACACGGGCCCGACUCCUACGGGAGGCAGCAGUAAGGAAUAUUGGUCAAUGGACGCAAGUCUGAACCAGCCAUGCCGCGUGAAGGAUUAAGGUCCUCUGGAUUGUAAACUUCUUUUAUCUGGGACGAAAAAAGGCUUUUCUAAGUCACUUGACGGUACCAGAUGAAUAAGCACCGGCUAACUCCGUGCCAGCCGCCGCCGUAAGAC